rnacentral:ncRNA from 2 species
AGCUUACCGCCACUCUCAGGUGCUGGCGGUGAGCUCACGGCCAGUUAAACGGGAAGUCGGUGCGCGAGUCCUAUCCAUCGUUUUCGCCACUCCGACGCUGCCCCCGCAACGGUGAUCGAGUCAACGUCCGUCGAUAUGCCACUUUGCCCGCUUGGGCAUGGGAAGGCGACGGUCGAGGAGGUGCCAGAAGCCUUCGCUCGUCAGCCCGGAGACCGGCCCGAGAGCCUCGUGCAAG